GACGAACGCUGGCGGCGUGCUUAACACAUGCAAGUCGAACGGAAAGGCCCUGCUUUUGUGGGGUGCUCGAGUGGCGAACGGGUGAGUAACACGUGAGUAACCUGCCCUUGACUUUGGGAUAACUUCAGGAAACUGGGGCUAAUACCGGAUAGGAGCUCCUGCUGCAUGGUGGGGGUUGGAAAGUUUCGGCGGAUGGGGAUGGACGCCGGGCUUAUCAGCUUGUUGGUGGGGUAGUGGCUUACCAAGGCAUUGACGGGUAGCCGGCCUGAGAGGGUGACCGGCCACAUUGGGACUGAGAUACGGCCCAGACUCCUACGGGAGGCAGCAGUGGGGAAUAUUGUACAAUGGGCGGAAGCCUGAUGCAGCAACGCCGCGUGCGGGAUGACGGCCUUCGGGUUGUAAACCGCUUUCGCCUGUGACGAAGCGUGAGUGACGGUAAUGGGUAAAGAAGCACCGGCUAACUACGUG
rnacentral:rRNA from 1 species